rnacentral:rRNA from 1 species
CAGUCGCCACGGUAAUACGGAGGUGGCAAGCGUUGUCCGGAAUUAUUGGGCGUAAAGCGCGCGCAGGUGGUUUAAUAAGUCAGAUGUGAAAGCCCGCGGCUCAACCGUGGAGGGUCAUUGGAAACUGGUAAACUUGAGUGCAGGAGAGAAAAGUAGAAUUCCUAGUGUAGCGGUGAAAUGCGUAGAGAUCAGGAGGAACACCAGUGGCGAAGGCAGCUUUCUGGCCUGUCACUGACACUGAGGCGCGAAAGCAUGGGGAGCAAACAGGAUUAGAGACCCGAGUAGUCCCUGUCUCUUAUAC